GGUUAAGCGACUAAGCGUACACGGUGGAUGCCUAGGCAAUCAGAGGCGAUGAAGGACGUGCUAAUCUGCGAUAAGCGUCGGUAAGGUGAUAUGAACCGUGAUAACCGACGAUUUCCGAAUGGGGAAACCCAGUGCAAUCCGUUGCACUAUCGUUUGAUGAAUACAUAGUCAAACGAAGCGAACCGGGGGAACUGAAACAUCUCAGUACCCCGAGGAAAAGAAAUCAACCGAGAUUCCCCUAGUAGCGGCGAGCGAACGGGGAGCAGCCCAGAGUCUUAAUCAACAUUAGCAUCAGGAGAACGGUCUGGAAAGGCCGGCAGUAAAGGGUGAUAGCCCCGUAUCCGAAGGUGUUAGUGUUGUGAACUCGACGAGUAGGGCGGGACACGUGUUAUCCUGUCUGAAUAUGGGGGGACCAUCCUCCAAGGCUAAAUACUCCUGAUUGACCGAUAGUGAACCAGUACCGUGAGGGAAAGGCGAAAAGAACCCCGGCGAGGGGAGUGAAAUAGAACCUGAAACCGUGUACGUACAAGCAGUGGGAGCCCCACCACCAAAGCAUUUUCUGGUGUUGAGGACAACUUUGAAGUGACAUUCAACACGCGUUGGCGGAGCGUUUUUUGCGACGCCCAACAAACAAAACAAGUAGUGAAUGUGCUUUGGGGUGGGGUGACUGCGUACCUUUUGUAUAAUGGGUCAGCGACUUAUAUUCUGUAGCAAGGUUAACCGUAUAGGGGAGCCGUAGGGAAACCGAGUCUUAACUGGGCGAAUGAGUUGCAGGGUAUAGACCCGAAACCCGGUGAUCUAGCCAUGGGCAGGUUGAAGGUUGGGUAACACUAACUGGAGGACCGAACCGACUAAUGUUGAAAAAUUAGCGGAUGACUUGUGGCUGGGGGUGAAAGGCCAAUCAAACCGGGAGAUAGCUGGUUCUCCCCGAAAGCUAUUUAGGUAGCGCCUCGUGAACUCAUCUUCGGGGGUAGAGCACUGUUUCGACUAGGGGGUCAUCCCGACUUACCAACUCGAUGCAAACUACGAAUACCGAAGAAUGUUAUCACGGGAGACACACGGCGGGUGCUAACGUUCGUCGUGAAGAGGGAAACAACCCAGACCGCCAGCUAAGGUCCCAAAGUCAUAGUUAAGUGGGAAACGAAGUGGGAAGGCUCAGACAGCCAGGAUGUUGGCUUAGAAGCAGCCAUCAUUUAAAGAAAGCGUAAUAGCUCACUGGUCGAGUCGGCCUGCGCGGAAGAUGUAACGGGGCUAAACUAUGCACCGAAGCUGCGGCAGCGAUAUGUAAAUAUUGUUGGGUAGGGGAGCGUUCUGUAAGCCUGUGAAGGUGUACUGUGAGGUAUGCUGGAGGUAUCAGAAGUGCGAAUGCUGACAUAAGUAACGAUAAUGCGGGUGAAAAACCCGCACGCCGGAAGACCAAGGGUUCCUGUCCAACGUUAAUCGGGGCAGGGUGAGUCGACCCCUAAGGCGAGGCAGAAAUGCGUAGUCGAUGGGAAACGGGUUAAUAUUCCCGUACUGGUGAUAAUUGCGAUGGGGGGACGGAGAAGGCUAGGCUAUCCGGGCGACGGUUGUCCCGGUUUAAGGAUGUAGGCAGGUGAAUUAGGCAAAUCCGGUUCACUACAUGCUGAGGUCCGAUGACGAGUCACUACGGUGAUGAAGUAGCUCAUGCCCCGCUUCCAGGAAAAGCCUCUAAGCUCUAGAUUAUCAUUAAUCGUACCCCAAACCGACACAGGUGGUCAGGUAGAGAAUACUCAGGCGCUUGAGAGAACUCGGGUGAAGGAACUAGGCAAAAUGGUGCCGUAACUUCGGGAGAAGGCACGCUGGCGCUAGGUGAAGUCCCUCGCGGAUGGAGCUGAAGCCAGUCGCAGAUACCAGCUGGCUGCAACUGUUUAUUAAAAACACAGCACUGUGCAAACACGAAAGUGGACGUAUACGGUGUGACGCCUGCCCGGUGCUGGAAGGUUAAUUGAUGGGGUUAUCCGUAAGGAGAAGCUCUUGAUCGAAGCCCCAGUAAACGGCGGCCGUAACUAUAACGGUCCUAAGGUAGCGAAAUUCCUUGUCGGGUAAGUUCCGACCUGCACGAAUGGCGUAAUGAUGGCCAGGCUGUCUCCACCCGAGACUCAGUGAAAUUGAACUCGCUGUGAAGAUGCAGUGUACCCGCGGCAAGACGGAAAGACCCCGUGAACCUUUACUAUAGCUUGACACUGAACAUUGAGCCUUGAUGUGUAGGAUAGGUGGGAGGCUUUGAAGUGUGGACGCCAGUCUGCAUGGAGCCAACCUUGAAAUACCACCCUUUAAUGUUUGAUGUUCUAACGUAGCCCCGUUAUCCGGGGUGCGGACAGUGUCUGGUGGGUAGUUUGACUGGGGCGGUCUCCUCCCAAAGAGUAACGGAGGAGCACGAAGGUUGGCUAAGCAUGGUCGGACAUCAUGCGGUUAGUGCAAAGGCAUAAGCCAGCUUGACUGCGAGAGUGACGGCUCGAGCAGGUACGAAAGUAGGUCUUAGUGAUCCGGUGGUUCUGAAUGGAAGGGCCAUCGCUCAACGGAUAAAAGGUACUCCGGGGAUAACAGGCUGAUACCGCCCAAGAGUUCAUAUCGACGGCGGUGUUUGGCACCUCGAUGUCGGCUCAUCACAUCCUGGGGCUGAAGUAGGUCCCAAGGGUACGGCUGUUCGCCGUUUAAAGUGGUACGCGAGCUGGGUUUAGAACGUCGUGAGACAGUUCGGUCCCUAUCUGCCGUGGGCGUUGGAAGAUUGAAAGGGGCUGCUCCUAGUACGAGAGGACCGGAGUGGACGCACCACUGGUGUUCGGGUUGUCAUGCCAAUGGCAUUGCCCGGUAGCUAAGUGCGGAAGAGAUAACCGCUGAAAGCAUCUAAGCGGGAAACUUGCCUUGAGAUGAGUCUUCCCUGACUCUUUAAGGGUCCUAAAGGAACGUUUAAGACUAAGACGUUGAUAGGUUGGGUGUGUAAGCGUAGCGAUACGUUGAGCUAACCAAUACUAAUGAACCGUGAGGCUUAACCUG
rnacentral:rRNA from 1 species